rnacentral:rRNA from 1 species
GCAUCGAUGAAGAACGCAGCGAAAUGCGAUACGUAGUGUGAAUUGCAGAAUUCCGUGAGUCAUCGAAUCUUUGAACGCACAUUGCCGGUCGACUCUUCGGAGGAGACCACAUCUGCCUCAGCGUCGGGAUA